UACGGGGGGGGCAAGCGUUGUUCGGAAUUAUCGUGGCGUAAAGGGCUCGUAGGCGGCCAACUAAGUCAGACGUGAAAUCCCUCGGCUUAACCGGGGAACUGCGUCUGAUACUGGAUGGCUUGAGUUUGGGAGAGGGAUGCGGAAUUCCAGGUGUAGCGGUGAAAUGCGUAGAGAUCAGCAGGAACACCCGUGGCGAAGGCGGCCCCCUGGGCCGAACCUGACGCUGAGGCGCGAAGGCUAGGGGAGCGAACGGG
rnacentral:rRNA from 1 species